rnacentral:rRNA from 1 species
GACGAACGCUGGCGGCGUGCCUAAUACAUGCAAGUAGAACGCACAGUUUAUACCGUAGCUUGCUACACCAUAAACUGUGAGUUGCGAACGGGUGAGUAACGCGUAGGUAACCUGCCUGGUAGCGGGGGAUAACUAUUGGAAACGAUAGCUAAUACCGCAUAAUAUUAAUUAUUGCAUGAUAAUUGAUUGAAAGAUGCAAUUGCAUCACUACCAGAUGGACCUGCGUUGUAUUAGCUAGUAGGUGAGGUAACGGCUCACCUAGGCGACGAUACAUAGCCGACCUGAGAGGGUGAUCGGCCACACUGGGACUGAGACACGGCCCAGACUCCUACGGGAGGCAGCAGUAGGGAAUCUUCGGCAAUGGACGAAAGUCUGACCGAGCAACGCCGCGGGAGUGAAGAAGGUUUUCGGAUCGUAAAGCUCUGUUGUAAGAGAAGAACGGGUGUGAGAGUGGAAAGUUCACACUGUGACGGUAUCUUACCAGAAAGAGACGGCUAACUACGUG